GCCCCUAUCGGCAAAAGGUCGUUUUCAUAUUAAUGUUUUGUACUCUUUUAUUUGCACUGUGAUUUGCGUUUCGUGUAGCUCAGUUGGUAGAUUAUUGCAUUAUACCUUGAUAUGCAAUCAUGCUAUCAUGGGUUCGAUCCCAGAGAAAGGACGUGCACGUAAAAUGUAUAUGCUCAAUAAAUCAUAAUUUAGCAUGAUUUCUGUGAGGGUUAGGUUUAAGCCACCUAGUAAAAUAUGUACGAAUUACUGUGAGAUCGGUGUAAGAAGUCCACACAUUGCAUUUAAAUAAACGUGCGUUUUGAUUGGUAAUGACGUUAUACGUCAUUUCAUGACGACAGACGCAACGCCAUACUGUCAUUAUUUUUACGCCCGCUAGAGGCCGCUUAACUUUAAAACGUAAAUAUAGGUCGUAAUAAGGUGCUUGCACAAACGACCUAUGGUCGUUUUUGUUGGAGGACAGGCUCCUUUGAAACGACACGAGGCUAAUUAAUUUUAAUUUUUUGGGUGAACUAUACCUUUAAAUUACAAUAUUUUUGGGAAACAGACAGUAAUAUUAAGAUCAGUAGUACGAUCGUUUUUACGAACUUCUUACAAUUUUUAGAAGCUUUUGGGAAAUGCAGCUCUGGUGGUGAGAGGCAAAAUAAGAGUCUUAUUAAUAUACUAAUUGGUGACAUUUUAAUUGUAUUUAUUUCCCAUUUACCAUUUUGUCAAUUUAAGAAGAAGCAUGGAUUUAUGUUAAUUCUUCUAACUGUUGCACUGUGAAUUACUGUGUAUAUUAUCUUUAUAUUAUGUAAAAUCUAAUAAAAGUGUCUAAAAUGAUCACAUAAUAUGUGUUAUCCUUAUGGUAAUUACAGUUUUUCUAGUGAUAAAGUAUCUAUAUGAGCUGUUUAAGUCAUAAAAUGUAAUUAAAAUAAAUCAAAAAUUAAAUCCAUAAAAUGAUCCAUUUGAUAGGAACCCCUAAAAGGUUCUGUAAAGACAUCUUUUUCCUGGCUACAAAGAAUCCUAAAGGGUUAUUUUGAAAGGACCCUUAAAAAGGACAUUUAGAACAUUUUAGAGGUCCCAAAUAUGUAAUAUGUUUAAGGCUCUAUUGUACACACACUUUGCAACAAACUCACCAUAUCUUUAAAGUCUCUGGUAGGUUCCCAAGCCCAAACAGUCCUAACUUUUUUAUGGUCAAAACUUGUUCAAUUCAUAUCAAAUCCAAUUCACUAUUCAAUGAAAAGUGAAUAAAGUAUAACAUGUCCCGUAAGGCACUAUUAGGCAAAAGCUUAGCAGAGGUACAUCUAAAACUAACUUGGUAUUUUUCUCCAAAAAAUAAUUAGCUAAUAAUUUUGACAUUAUGUUCAUGCAUGUUCAUGCAUGUGAUAUUUCCUCCUUCAGGCUAUUAGUCGCCCUUUUCCACACUAGAAGCAUUUUUGUAAAGGUCAUAAACAAUUAACCAGGCUUUACACCGGCACUCACAUUGCUGAACUUGGGGUGGAGCUUUCAAACCAUAAAACCAACUCCCUCUGCUCUCCACAGACUCUCAGUUCACAGUUUCAAUAAACUCUUAAUGGAAACCUUCUGUCUUUUAUCAUAGAGGUCAUGAAUGGAUGCCAGUACUAAGUUGUGUCAAAUGUGGUGCCUUUUUUUUCUGGACAUAUUCAGUUCACUUUUCUAGAAGAUAUUUUGUACUUGCACGAUCGAUUUUGUUUUGACACAGCUGAAAUUAUAUGAAAUUAUAUGGAUUUAAAUUAACAGAUUGCUUGAUUCCGUGGUACAGAGAAACAUUUCAACGAAUUAAUAAGGUCAAAAAGAAGCGUGAUACAUUUUUAUUUAUUUUAAACUACAAAGAUGUCCAAAGACAGUGUGUUUUAUUGAAUGUGUGUUAAAGUGAAAGUGAAAAGGUGAAGUGACGUGUAGCCACGCAUGGUGUCCUAUACUCGGAUUGUGCUCUGCAUUCAACCCAUCCAAAUGCACACUGCAGCAGUGAGUAGUGAUCACACACCGGAGCAGUGGGCAGCCAUGACCUUUGGGUUACAAGCCAGACUCUCUAACCAUUAGGCCACGAUUUUGUAAGCUGCCUGUUUUGAGAGUAUAGGCUACGUGAAUUUAAAAGCUCCCAGAGUGAUCCUGGGGAUCGUACGUUACCUAACCAUUUCCCCCAAAUGUCUGGUGAUCUCGAAAGAUGUUCUCCAUGUGUUGAAGCUGAAGACAUGACCUACACAUGGAUGAAACUCUGGGAGCAUGCUGUGAUAGUGCUGGCCUUUGGAAUUCCGUCAAUACCCUGUAUAGUAAUCAUGUGACGAAGAUAUGACUGCAUUGUGGAGCAUGUGCGCUGAUAAAUUGAGUUGGCUACGUUUCUGUGUAAUGUGCAUUACAAAAUAGUUUGAUAUGAUAUGUUAUUAUUAUUAUUAUUUUUUUUGUUUGUUUGUUUAUUCCACUUCCUCUUUUUUCUCACAACUUGUCAGUUCUACCUCACGCUAAUGGAGCAUUUUCAUUGCUUCUACAUCAAAUAAAAACUGUUUAACUCAAGCGGCAAAAUAUAAAACUCUUC
ensembl:lncRNA